CUGUUAUCAUUAUCAUCUCUAUCCUCUGCUAGGCCCUUGAACGAUUUCAGCCACCUCCCAGCCACAUCAAACCUUGCACUUCCAAGCGACAGGAUGGCGAUGAUGCCCGAGAAGGAAGGACAUGUCUCAGGAGUAUUGGAAAUUAGAGGUGGUGGAAAAGCAGCAGCAUAUGGGCCAUUGAUUCUCAAUAUGCUUCCAAAGGGGAAAGUUCCACCAUCUGGACCAAGCAAAGGAACAAACAACCUCAACAACNNNNGCGUUGUUACUUGUGUGUGUUUUUUUUUGAAAAAGCUAAAAUGAUAUAUAUAUAAAUAUGAACAAAACAGCCUCCUCAGCACAAGGUGUGCCAAGAUAGACUAACAAAGUUUACAGUGAGACCAAGAAAGAAAUACACAAUCAAAAUCAUACAAGACUCAAACAUAAUAAGGGACUAGACCACCAAACAUGGUAGUUUGAAACUAGAGUGUGUUAUAGGCUAUAGCUAUAUUAAUUAAUACUUAAUUAUUGAUUGAAUUAAUUAGAACUUAUGUCUUAUACAAAGUAGUAUACAUGGACAUGAUCAUAGUACAUCACUGUCAUCACAUACGUCAACUGUAACUCAGUUCAUCACAUUUUGGUCAUCUAUAGUGUUUUAUUUUUCAAAAAAAUUUACAUUUUUUUAUCCUAAUUCAAUAUUUUUUGGCUUAAUUAAUAAAAUGGUCCCUUAAAGACA
rnacentral:lncRNA from 1 species